ACUGCAGAGGAUGAAUGUUGUAGAGAUUAUUAUAGAAAUGACCCGGGAUCAUGCGAACCUUGUAUUGGAUUCAGUGGAUAUAACUGUUCUAAACCUUGUGAGUUUGGAUUCUUUGGACAUGGUUGUCGUGAGAAGUGUAACUGCAGUAGUGAUACUCAUUGGUGUGAUGUAUACAAAAAUUUGGUAUAAAAAGUUAUAAAUGUUUUAAUUUCUGGUAUUUUUCAAUAGAAAAAUUAAAUUGCUUUCUUGUUAA